rnacentral:rRNA from 1 species
CCUUAUGACCUGGGCUACACACGUGCUACAAUGGACAGAACAAAGGGCAGCGAGACCGCGAGGUUAAGCCAAUCCCACAAAUCUGUUCUCAGUUCGGAUCGCAGUCUGCAACUCGACUGCGUGAAGCUGGAAUCGCUAGUAAUCGCGGAUCAGCAUGCCGCGGUGAAUACGUUCCCGGGCCUUGUACACACCGCCCGUCACACCACGAGAGUUUGUAACACCCGAAGUCGGUGAGG